UGGGGAAUAUUGGACAAUGGGCGAAAGCCUAAUCCAGCCAUGCCGCGUGUGUGAAGAAGGUCUUCGGAUUGUAAAGCACUUUAAGUUGGGAGGAAGGGCAGUAAGCGAAUACCUUGCUGUUUUGACGUUACCGACAGAAUAAGCACCGGCUAACUCUGUGCCAGCAGCCGCGGUAAUACAGAGGGUGCAAGCGUUAAUCGGAAUUACUGGGCGUAAAGCGCGCGUAGGUGGUUCGUUAAGUUGAAUGUGAAAGCCCCGGGCUCAACCUGGGAACUGCAUCCAAAACUGGCGAGCUAGAGUAGGGCAGAGGGUGGUGGAAUUUCCUGUGUAGCGGUGAAAUGCGUAGAUAUAGGAAGGAACACCAGUGGCGAAGGCGACCACCUGGGCUCAUACUGACACUGAGGUGCGAAAGCGUGGGGAGCAAACAGG
rnacentral:rRNA from 1 species